rnacentral:rRNA from 1 species
AUAUAACUAGGCGGAGGAAAAGAAACUAACCAGGAUUCCCUUAGUAACGGCGAGUGAAGCGGGACAAGCUCAGACUGAAAAUCUUCGGAGUUGUAGUCUGGAGAAGUCAAGUCAGCAUUAAGUAUCGGGUAAAGUCUCUUGGAACAGAGCGCCGUGGAGGGUGAUAGCCCCGUUCAUGCCUGAUAUGAAGUGUGUACGACUGGCUUUCUAAGAGUCGAGUUGUUUGGGAUUGCAGCUCUAAGUGGGUGGUAAAUUCCAUCUAAAGCUAAAUAUAAAUGGGAGACCGAUAGCGCACAAGUA